rnacentral:lncRNA from 10 species
GCUUGAUGACUUUUCAUAAACGGAGCACAACUAUAGGACCAGUACACAUUUAAAAUACCAUGUUACCAGCACCACAGAAGCUAUUUUCUCUCUUUUCCAGAGACUACCUUCUUGUCCCUGCCAAGGAUAGCCACAACCCUGACUUCUAUAGUAGAGAUUUAGUUUGAUUGGCUUCUUUUGUUCAACAGACUUUACCAACAACAUUGAACAGAGUGGUCUAAACCAUGAAUAUCAUAUGUAUUGGGGAAUCAGAAGUAUCAGCCGGUUUGGAGUAUUGGGAGGACACUGGAAGAGCGGAAUUUAAGGUGACAGUAGGGAAAGAAGACGCUACCAUUGCUUAGCCAUCCCACCAACUCAUCUCAUUACAUCUGUACACACAGCUCAACAGGCAAAACCCUCUCUGGGAAUGUGAUUCUUCCUGGCAAAGCAGGCAUGAACAGAGACGAAGAAUGCCAAUACCCUCUUGACCAUCAAGAUAUGCCAAAACCACUUUAGAGAAUAUUGGAAUAAAGUGCCUGAGAACAGAUCACCCAAGAAAAAGUUGACAGAGGAACAACUUCUAAUUCAUUCUGAUGACACUUUUGAGGCUUCCAAAAAAUCAUAUUUUCCUCAGGCUUCUUCUAUAAGGCCUGCUUUUUUUGGUCUCACUUCUAACUGAGGAAAAAAAGAUUGCUGUUUAAUGGACAGCUGAAACGAGGUGCUCUGUGGACAUUAGUUCAGACUUGGAGGCUUGGAAUCAGUUCUUUGUAACUGGCUUGGUCUCAUUCCUGAGGAUGACGGAGCUUCUUCCCAUGACCAUGCACAGAUGACAUCAGCACUCAGAAUCUCAUUCACAAUGAAACCCAUCUGCAGGGAGCCACCUUUACCCCGAGUAUGGAUUUCAGCUUUGCUUCUAUUUAAUC